CAUGCAGGCGGUUAAACAAGUAGGAUGUGAAAUCCCCGGGCUCAACCUGGGAACUGCAUUCUAAACUGUUUAACUAGAGUAUUGCAGGGGGAGACGGAAUUCCAGGUGUAGCGGUGGAAUGCGUAGAUAUCUGGAAGAACACCAAAGGCGAAGGCAGUCUCCUGGGCAAAUACUGACGCUCAGAUGCGAAAGCGUGGGUAGCAAACA
rnacentral:rRNA from 2 species